GGGCCUAUAGCUCAGUUAGUUAGAGCGCACCCCUGAUAAGGGUGAGGUCUGUGGUGCAACUCCACAUAGGCCCACCA
rnacentral:tRNA from 1 species